UUGGCGUCGGCUGGUUGAGUAGACAUAAUAAAUUAAUUAUAAGGUCAAAUUUUAAUAUUUAAAGAACUAAUUAUGUCAAUAUAUAAGCUAUAAAUUAAAACAAGGAUUAGAUACCCUUUUAUUAUUAGUAUAGAAUACAAUUGGGGACUACAAGCAAUUGCUUAAAAACCCAAGAAUUUGGCGGUGUCUUAUUCUAUCAGGGGAUUCUGUCUCGUAAUCGACAACCCACGAAGUAAAUUACCUACUCUAGAUAAUUUCAGCUUGUGUACUGCCGUCUAUAUAGGCCCUUAAAGUUACCUAUAACUAUAUAAAAGAAAUAUUACGACAGGUCAAAGUGCAGCUAAUGGGUAGGGGAAGAUGGAUUACAAUAUAUAUCAUAGCUUAAUUUUAUAUUAACAUAUAAAUUAAAAAGAAUUUGAUAGUAAUGGAAUUUAUAAUAAUACCAUGAAUAAGAACUUAAGACAAGCACAUAUCGCCCGUCACUCCUUUAUAUAGGAUAAGUCGACAAAAAGGUAGGAA
rnacentral:rRNA from 1 species